GUUACUCCUUAGGAAUCAA
rnacentral:misc_RNA from 1 species